rnacentral:rRNA from 1 species
ACGGGUGAGUAAUGCUUAUCUUACCUGCCAUUUAGUGGGGGAUAAAAUUCCGCAUAUUAUGAGUAAUCAUGAAAGGGCUUUCGGGCUCGCUAAUUGAUGGGGAUAAGUCGUAUUAGUUAGUUGGUGGGGUAAUGGCCUACCAAGACAAUGAUGCGUAGCCAGUCUGAGAGGAUGAAUGGCCACAAAGGAACUGAGACACGGUUCUUACUCCUAUUGAGGAGGCAGCAGUGGGGAAUAUUCUGCAAUGGGGGAAACCCUGACAGAGCAAUACUACGUGAAGGAGGAAGGUCUACGGAUUGUAAACUUCUUUACUUAAAUGUACUAACCGCAAGGUUUUGCAUUUGAGCAAAAAGCGACGACUAACUAUGUGCCAGCAGUCGCGGUAAGACAUAGGUCGCGAACGUUAUCCGGAAUUAUUGGGCGUAAAGGAUGCGUAGAUGGUUCAGUAAGUUACUGGUGGGAAAUCGAGGCCUAACCUCGUGGAAGUCAGUAAUACUGUUGAACUUGAGUGCAGGAGAGGUUAACGGAACUUCAUGUGGAGCGGUAAAAUGCGUAGAUAUAUGAAAGAACAUCAAUAUAGCGAAGGCAGUUAACUAUUCUGCUACUGACAUUGAGGCAUGAAAGCGUGGGGAGCAAAACGGAUUAGAUACCCGUGUAGUCCACGCCCUAAACGAUGAGUGCUAGAUAUUGGGAACUUGAUUCUCAGUGUCGCUAGGUAACCCGGUAAGCACUCCGCCUGGGGAGUACGCUCGCAAGAGUGAAACUUAAAGGAAUUGACGGGGACUCGCACAAGCAGUGGAGCAUGUGGUUUAAUCCGAUACAACGCGUAGAACCUUACCAAGGCUUGACAUGUUCGGCAAAACUGUGGAAACACAGCGGAGGUUAUCCGGACACAGGUGCUGCAUGGCCGUCGUCAGUUCGUGCCGUGAGGUGUAUGGUUAAGUCCUAUAACGAACGCAACCCUUGGGCUUAGUUGCCAGCAUUAAGUUGGGGACUCUAAGCCGACUGCCUGAGUAAUCAGGAGGAAGGAAAGGAUGACGUCUGGUCGUC